rnacentral:lncRNA from 1 species
UCUCUCUCUGUGACCUGUAACUUGAGGGUGACAAAAAAGAACUUCCCAUGAAAGAACAAACAAACAUGACACCACCUGGGACCAUUGAAGUUGGAUUUCCCCUGGUAAGGUCAACAAAAACACAAAAAGUUUUAUCUUCUAGUAAGAACUAUGAGAAGUAUUUUCAGGAAAGAUUGACUCUGCAAUUCUGCCACAAAACUCAGUGAUGUGAUUAUGCAUCACCAACAAGCAAUGGAAAACUUUUAUGGGAAAAAGUGUGUAGUAUCAAUUUCCAACUUUUGGUCAACUGAACUGAAAAGAAUUAAUGGAUGUAUUUAUCUGAACAGGAUUUAAUUUGAAUGCGCAAUUAGCCACAGAUUACAGCUCAAAAAAAGUGUAUGUACUUAAAAGGAAGCUUAUGUGAAUUUUUUUGAGCCUGGUGAACAUUAUGUGUGCUGUACAAUAUAUAAAAAACAUCAUCAUUACAUAUUAGAAAUAAAAUGUGAGAAAUCAGGGAUUUUGUUCACCUUAUCUCCUCUGUGACUCUUCCUGCCUUCCCUCAGCAUUCUAGCCCUCGCUGAUCACCUUCCACCAGGAACUAUACAAGACUUGGGGUCUGUUCUGUUCAAAAUUACAGAAACCCUAUUUUCUGCCUAUUAGUUAACUUAUGAAUACAUAUUAAGUAAUAAUGAAUUGAAAUAAAUGAAUAAUAAAUGUCUCAAUUUCUGUUAU